GUAGCCCAUCUGGGGAACCCAGCACUGGAGCUACAAGCACAGGAAGUUCAGGUACAACAGGAGAGUCCCUGGGUGUGACCUCAGGAGGGGUCAGCAGUACCACAAGUCAACCAUCUGGC
rnacentral:lncRNA from 1 species